GACGAACGCUGGCGGCGUGCCUAAUACAUGCAAGUAGAACGCACAGGAUGCACCGUAGUUUACUACACCGUAUUCUGUGAGUUGCGAACGGGUGAGUAACGCGUAGGUAACCUGCCUGGUAGCGGGGGAUAACUAUUGGAAACGAUAGCUAAUACCGCAUAAGAACAUUUACUGCAUGGUAGAUGUUUAAAAGGUGCAAAUGCAUCACUACCAGAUGGACCUGCGUUGUAUUAGCUAGUAGGUGAGGUAACGGCUCACCUAGGCGACGAUACAUAGCCGACCUGAGAGGGUGAUCGGCCACACUGGGACUGAGACACGGCCCAGACUCCUACGGGAGGCAGCAGUAGGGAAUCUUCGGCAAUGGACGGAAGUCUGACCGAGCAACGCCGCGUGAGUGAAGAAGGUUUUCGGAUCGUAAAGCUCUGUUGUAAGAGAAGAACGAGUGUGAGAGUGGAAAGUUCACACUGUGACGGUAUCUUA
rnacentral:rRNA from 1 species